AGCGUACACGGUGGAUGCCCUGGCAGUCAGAGGCGAUGAAGGACGUGCUAAUCUGCGAUAAGCGUCGGUAAGGUGAUAUGAACCGUUAUAACCGGCGAUUUCCGAAUGGGGAAACCCAGUGUGUUUCGACACACUAUCAUUAACUGAAUCCAUAGGUUAAUGAGGCGAACCGGGGGAACUGAAACAUCUAAGUACCCCGAGGAAAAGAAAUCAACCGAGAUUCCCCCAGUAGCGGCGAGCGAACGGGGAGCAGCCCAGAGCCUGAAUCAGUGUGUGUGUUAGUGGAAGCGUCUGGAAAGGCGCGCGAUACAGGGUGACAGCCCCGUACACAAAAAUGCACAUACUGUGAGCUCGAUGAGUAGGGCGGGACACGUGGUAUCCUGUCUGAAUAUGGGGGGACCAUCCUCCAAGGCUAAAUACUCCUGACUGACCGAUAGUGAACCAGUACCGUGAGGGAAAGGCGAAAAGAACCCCGGCGAGGGGAGUGAAAAAGAACCUGAAACCGUGUACGUACAAGCAGUGGGAGCCUCUUAAUGGGGUGACUGCGUACCUUUUGUAUAAUGGGUCAGCGACUUAUAUUCUGUAGCAAGGUUAACCGAAUAGGGGAGCCGAAGGGAAACCGAGUCUUAACUGGGCGUUAAGUUGCAGGGUAUAGACCCGAAACCCGGUGAUCUAGCCAUGGGCAGGUUGAAGGUUGGGUAACACUAACUGGAGGACCGAACCGACUAAUGUUGAAAAAUUAGCGGAUGACUUGUGGCUGGGGGUGAAAGGCCAAUCAAACCGGGAGAUAGCUGGUUCUCCCCGAAAGCUAUUUAGGUAGCGCCUCGUGAAUUCAUCUCCGGGGGUAGAGCACUGUUUCGGCAAGGGGGUCAUCCCGACUUACCAACCCGAUGCAAACUGCGAAUACCGGAGAAUGUUAUCACGGGAGACACACGGCGGGUGCUAACGUCCGUCGUGAAGAGGGAAACAACCCAGACCGCCAGCUAAGGUCCCAAAGUCAUGGUUAAGUGGGAAACGAUGUGGGAAGGCCCAGACAGCCAGGAUGUUGGCUUAGAAGCAGCCAUCAUUUAAAGAAAGCGUAAUAGCUCACUGGUCGAGUCGGCCUGCGCGGAAGAUGUAACGGGGCUAAACCAUGCACCGAAGCUGCGGCAGCGACACUAUGUGUUGUUGGGUAGGGGAGCGUUCUGUAAGCCUGUGAAGGUGUACUGUGAGGUAUGCUGGAGGUAUCAGAAGUGCGAAUGCUGACAUAAGUAACGAUAAAGCGGGUGAAAAGCCCGCUCGCCGGAAGACCAAGGGUUCCUGUCCAACGUUAAUCGGGGCAGGGUGAGUCGACCCCUAAGGCGAGGCCGAAAGGCGUAGUCGAUGGGAAACAGGUUAAUAUUCCUGUACUUGGUGUUACUGCGAAGGGGGGACGGAGAAGGCUAUGUUGGCCGGGCGACGGUUGUCCCGGUUUAAGCGUGUAGGCUGGUUUUCCAGGCAAAUCCGGAAAAUCAAGGCUGAGGCGUGAUGACGAGGCACUACGGUGCUGAAGCAACAAAUGCCCUGCUUCCAGGAAAAGCCUCUAAGCAUCAGGUAACAUCAAAUCGUACCCCAAACCGACACAGGUGGUCAGGUAGAGAAUACCAAGGCGCUUGAGAGAACUCGGGUGAAGGAACUAGGCAAAAUGGUGCCGUAACUUCGGGAGAAGGCACGCUGAUAUGUAGGUGAAGUCCCUUGCGGAUGGAGCUGAAAUCAGUCGAAGAUACCAGCUGGCUGCAACUGUUUAUUAAAAACACAGCACUGUGCAAACACGAAAGUGGACGUAUACGGUGUGACGCCUGCCCGGUGCCGGAAGGUUAAUUGAUGGGGUUAGCGGUAACGCGAAGCUCUUGAUCGAAGCCCCGGUAAACGGCGGCCGUAACUAUAACGGUCCUAAGGUAGCGAAAUUCCUUGUCGGGUAAGUUCCGACCUGCACGAAUGGCGUAAUGAUGGCCAGGCUGUCUCCACCCGAGACUCAGUGAAAUUGAACUCGCUGUGAAGAUGCAGUGUACCCGCGGCAAGACGGAAAGACCCCGUGAACCUUUACUAUAGCUUGACACUGAACAUUGAGCCUUGAUGUGUAGGAUAGGUGGGAGGCUUUGAAGUGUGGACGCCAGUCUGCAUGGAGCCGGCCUUGAAAUACCACCCUGAUUAAUGUUUGAUGUUCUAACGUUGGCCCCUGAUCGGGGUUGCGGACAGUGUCUGGUGGGUAGUUUGACUGGGGCGGUCUCCUCCUAAAGAGUAACGGAGGAGCACGAAGGUUGGCUAAUCCUGGUCGGACAUCAGGAGGUUAGUGCAAUGGCAUAAGCCAGCUUGACUGCGAGCGUGACGGCGCGAGCAGGUGCGAAAGCAGGUCAUAGUGAUCCGGUGGUUCUGAAUGGAAGGGCCAUCGCUCAACGGAUAAAAGGUACUCCGGGGAUAACAGGCUGAUACCGCCCAAGAGUUCAUAUCGACGGCGGUGUUUGGCACCUCGAUGUCGGCUCAUCACAUCCUGGGGCUGAAGUAGGUCCCAAGGGUAUGGCUGUUCGCCAUUUAAAGUGGUACGCGAGCUGGGUUUAGAACGUCGUGAGACAGUUCGGUCCCUAUCUGCCGUGGGCGCUGGAGAACUGAGGGGGGCUGCUCCUAGUACGAGAGGACCGGAGUGGACGCAUCACUGGUGUUCGGGUUGUCAUGCCAAUGGCACUGCCCGGUAGCUAAAUGCGGAAGAGAUAAGUGCUGAAAGCAUCUAAGCACGAAACUUGCCCCGAGAUGAGUUCUCCCUGACUCCUUGA
rnacentral:rRNA from 1 species